GUCCACGCCCUAAACGAUGUCAACUGGGUGUUGGGGAAGCGAUUCCUUUGUACCGUAGCUAACGCGUGAAGUUGACCGCCUGGGGAGUACGGCCGCAAGGUUAAAACUCAAAGGAAUUGACGGGGACCCGCACAAGCGGUGGAUGAUGUGGAUUAAUUCGAUGCAACGCGAACAACCUUACCUACCCUUGACAUGUCCGGAAGCCUGCUGAGAGGUGGGGGUGCCCGAAAGGGAACCGGAACACAGGUGCUGCAUGGCUGUCGU
rnacentral:rRNA from 1 species